UUAAAAGUUUAUUUUUAUGGAUAGUUUAAUAGUUAAUUUUAUUAUAUUUUUAUUAGAAACUAGGAUUAGAUACCCUAUUAUUAAAAAUUUAAAUUUUGUUUUAGGUAGUAAAAGAUUUGUUCUGGAAACUUAAAAGAUUUGGCGGUGAUUUAUUUCUAUUUAGAGGAAUAUGUUUUAUAAUUGAUAAUCCACAAUUAUCUUACUUAGUAUAGUAAAUUCAUUUUGUAUAUCUCCGUCAAGAAUAAAUUAAAAAGUUUUAUUUCUAAUUUAAUUUUUUUUAAGAAGAUCAGGUCAAGGUGCAGAUUAUUACUAAGUUAAAAUGUAUUACAUUAAAGUUAUUUUUGGAUUUUUAUUUUAAAUAAUAAUAUGAAAUUGGAUUUAUAUGUAAAAUAAUAGAUUAUUUUUUUUUGAUCUAAUCCUUAAAUCAUGUACAUAUUGCCCGUCGCUUUCUUUAUUAAUAAGAAAUAAGUCGUAACAAAGUAGAUUUACUGGAAAGUGAAUCUAGAAUAUU
rnacentral:rRNA from 1 species